rnacentral:rRNA from 1 species
GACGAACGCUGGCGGCGUGCUUAACACAUGCAAGUCGAACGGAAAGGCCCUGCUUUUGUGGGGUGCUCGAGUGGCGAACGGGUGAGUAACACGUGAGUAACCUGCCCUUGACUUUGGGAUAACUUCAGGAAACUGGGGCGAAUACCGGAUAGGAGCUACUGCUGCAUGGUGGGGGUUGGAAAGUUUCGGCGGUUGGGGAUGGACUGGCGGCUUAUCAGCUUGUUGGGGGGGUAGUGGCUUACCAAGGCUUUGAAGGGUAGCCGGCCUGAGCGGGUGACCGGCGACCAUGGGCCUGCGAGACGGACCAGACUCCUACGGGAGGCAGCAGUGGGGAAUAUGACACAAUAGGCGGAAGCCUGAUGCAACAACGCCGGGUUCGGGAUGACGGCCUUCGAGUUGUAAACCGCUUUCGCCUGUGACGAAGCGUGAGUGACGGUAAUGGGUAAAGAAGCACCGGCUAACUACGUG